GUGGGGAAUAUUGGACAAUGGGCGCAAGCCUGAUCCAGCAAUGCCGCGUGGGUGAAGAAGGUCUUCGGAUUGUAAAGCCCUUUCGGCGGGGACGAUGAUGACGGUACCCGCAGAAGAAGCCCCGGCUAACUUCGUGCCAGCAGCCGCGGUAAUACGAAGGGGGCUAGCGUUGCUCGGAAUGACUGGGCGUAAAGGGCGCGUAGGCGGUUCACGCAGUCAGGUGUGAAAUUCCUGGGCUUAACCUGGGGGCUGCACUUGAUACGCGUGGGCUUGAGGAUGGAAGAGGGUCGUGGAAUUCCCAGUGUAGAGGUGAAAUUCGUAGAUAUUGGGAAGAACACCGGUGGCGAAGGCGGCGACCUGGUCCAUUGCUGACGCUGAGGCGCGAAAGCGUGGGGAGCAAACAGG
rnacentral:rRNA from 1 species